ACACUGCGGGAACCGGGACCCCUACUGCCGCGUGUAUAGGGAGACCGUUGACCUCCCAGACGGACGGCAGUGUCUCAUCAAGUGUUUGCUGGCCUGUUCCUCUGGUUAGUUCUAGGGAACUUUGCCAUCAGUUGUAAAUUCUUUUGAGACAAAGUUGUUUUUACUUGAUCAAAACAUUAAACUUGUAUAGUAAUAUGGUGAUGACAAAUGCAUACCAGUCGUCAUUUAUUGUACAAAAUUUUAUCAAUAUUGUGUGUUUAACAAUAAUUGUUUCACAAGUUUUUAUUAAAUCAAGGUUCAUUAG
rnacentral:misc_RNA from 1 species